rnacentral:misc_RNA from 1 species
AAGGAUCAUUACCGAGUUAGGGUCGCCUUUUCAGGUGCCCGACCUCCCAACCCUUUGUCUAUGAUACCACAGUUGCUUCGGCGGACCGAGGGUUCACACCUUCGCCUGGCUUACAGCCGGGAGAGCGUCCGUCGAUGGCCUCAUCUAAACACUUGAACCCAAAACCUGUCGUCUGAAACAUUUGAUAACUAAAUCAAAAAACAAAACUUUCAACAACGGAUCUCUUGGUUCUG